AAGAGACCUCCCAAAAUCUAGUCUGAAGAGGCAAACGCAGGCUGUAAAAAAGCGGGAUGUGGUAUGAACCGCAUCCCGC
rfam:Pseudomonas sp. HPB0071 genomic scaffold aczIi-supercont1.1, whole genome shotgun sequence.